CACGCCGUAAACGAUGAGUGCUAGGUGUUAGGUCCUUUCCGGGACUUAGUGCCGCAGCUAACGCAAUAAGCACUCCGCCUGGGGAGUACGACCGCAAGGUUGAAACUCAAAGGAAUUGACGGGGGCCCGCACAAGCGGUGGAGCAUGUGGUUUAAUUCGAAGCAACGCGAAGAACCUUACCAGGUCUUGACAUCCCGAUGCCCGCUCUAGAGAUAGAGUUUUUCUUCGGAACAUCGGAGACAGGUGGUGCAUGGUUGUUGUCAGCUCGUGUCGUGAGAUGUUGGGUUAAGUCCCGCAACGAGCGCAACCCUUAUUGUUAGUUGCCAUCAUUGAGUUGGGCACUCUAGCGAGACUGCCGGUAAUAAACCGGAGGAAGGUGGGGAUGACGUCAAAUCAUCAUGCCCCUUAUGACCUGGGCUACACACGUGCUACAAUGGUUGGUACAACGAGUCGCAAGCCGGUGACGGCAAGCUAAUCUCCGAAAGCCAAUCUCAGUUCGGAUUGUAGGCUGCAACUCGCCUACAUGAAGUCGGAAUCGCUAGUAAUCGCGGAUCAGCACGCCGCGGUGAAUACGUUCCCGGGCCUUGUACACACCGCCCGUCACACCACGAGAGUUUGUAACACCCNAAGUCGGUGAGGUAACCAUAU
rnacentral:rRNA from 1 species